CUCGUUUUCGACCCUGCCGACAAGAUCUCGUCACGUGACGCCAAUUGCAAGACGUCGCAGCGUCGUUGUGGUACAUCCGAUCGCGACAAGUCUAAGUUCCUCCGCGGUUUCCGGAAUCCAGUCCGGCACGCAACAGACGACAAACACUUGAUGCGAAACGUCAGUACUCAUAGAAUUUAAUCUGUUUGCAGUACACCGCAAAGUAUCGGUAACGUCACCUGGCACGAAUUAAAACGCGCGUUUUGUCUCCAGCCAGCCAACUCGCCAGGCCGUAAACGUCACAGAUCUCCGGCCGAGCUUGCGCUCGCCUUUUUUUCAAAAGUCGACAAGUCGCGAUCCCGCCAAUCAGCCAGCCGAUGCAUCGUCCACUGGUGUCAACCUCCUCUCCGCUUUACGUCGUCCCGAAAAAGCUCACCGGCAUCCUCCUGCACCGAGGCGUUUUCUCAAACAUCAACCUGCAGUGCGAAGUCCUGUCAGUCCGAGCCUCCGAUGCCGUUAUCAAGAUCCCGUUACUCCUUGGCAGGAUUAAAAACAGGGCCGCGGCAGUGCUGCUGUGGAAGACAGGAUAAAGGAUGCGCCGAGGACUGCAAUUUCUGUUGUUCCCUAAACUGCGGGAUGACUGGAACGCCGGAUGGUAUUAGAGCGGGACACUCUGUUCAGCAGCGAGUAAGGGA
rnacentral:lncRNA from 1 species